CAAUAUAAAGCUAAUUAACCAAGCAUUCCGCUUACACCGGGAAGAAUUAUUGUGCAAAUCAAUUUAUAUUGA
rnacentral:tRNA from 1 species